rnacentral:misc_RNA from 1 species
GAAAUGCGAUAAGUAAUGUGAAUUGCAGAAUUCAGUGAAUCAUCGAAUCUUUGAACGCACAUUGCACCCCCUGGCAUUCCGGGGGGUAUGCCUGUUCGAGCGUCAUUGCAACCCUCAAGCGCUGCUUGGUAUUGGAUGCUACUAAUGUGGUGCAUCUUAAAAGUAUUGGCGGUAGCAUUCAGCUUCUAGUGUAGUAAGAUUCUUGCUAUGGAGUUGGGUGUUUGACUGUGCCAGAACCUCUAACCCAUUAAAGGUUGACCUCGGAUCAGGUAGGGAUACCCGCUGAACUUAA